ACAAUUUUUUUGUUGUAUGAAAUAUUUUCAAGUAGAGAAGUUAAGGAAGAUGCUUUGUAUUGUGAUGAGUUUUUAUAUUGUUAAUUUCUAGUGAUGGUUUUGUUGUUUUCUGGUGUUAGUGAAUGGAAAUGGGAGAAUAUUUAUUGAAAGCAUACACUGAUAAUGAUCUUGUUUGAAGUGCUGAUCAUAAUGUUGAUGUACAUUUAGAGUAAUUAAAUAAUUUUUAUGGGUCAGUGACAUGAAUGCAUAGGAUAUGGAUAUGUGGUGGUUUGAAACGAGGAGUGACACAGUGGUGAGCAUUGAUUUAGUGAAUGUGUGAUUAUUAAUACAACUAGUUUGUUUGUUACUGUGUGAACAACAGAUAACGAACGCUGGAUUACAGUAACUGUGUUUUAGCAUUAAAUUUGUAAAUAGUUUAUGUUGUUUAAUGAGCAUGUAUGUAUAUAUACAUACUAGUAAGGUAUGAGGUGUUGCUGUUUAUUGCACCAAUAACAAACACUGUGCUUUUAUUGGACAGACUGGCAAAACUGCAAUUCAAGUAGGAGAAGAAAGUCUGCAGUCAGAGUGGGGCAGUCGCAAAGAAACUCGUUCUGCUAUCCUUUCCCAUUUGAAGGAAUUCAUCGAGGAAAGUGCUGUUGCAGCUGUAAAUCCAUCACCAGAUGUUGUAGAAAGUGCAAACAUUGAUGUUCAACUUCCCAGUGCUAUUGAUCGUCUGGGUCCAUCUGUGAAAUCUGAUUACGAAAAUGCUUUGAAAAAGGGAGAGUUACCAAUACUACGAGGAAACAUCGAUAUGUUUGGUGAAGAAGAUGCCGGCAAGUCUUCUCUUGGAGAUUCUUAUUUGGACGAGCCAUUUAUUGAUAAGAGGGAAAGCACGAGAGGAGCGCACGUGAAAGUGAUGAGAAUUGGA